UGCAAGUCGAGCGGUAACAUUUCUAGCUUGCUAGAAGAUGACGAGCGGCGGACGGGUGAGUAAUGCUUGGGAAUAUGCCUUAUGGUGGGGGACAACAGUUGGAAACGACUGCUAAUACCGCAUGACGUCUACGGACCAAAGGGGGGAUCUUCGGACCUCUCGCCAUUUGAUUAGCCCAAGUGAGAUUAGCUAGUUGGUAAGGUAAUGGCUUACCAAGGCGACGAUCUCUAGCUGGUUUGAGAGGAUGAUCAGCCACACUGGGACUGAGACACGGCCCAGACUCCUACGGGAGGCAGCAGUGGGGAAUAUUGCACAAUGGGCGAAAGCCUGAUGCAGCCAUGCCGCGUGUGUGAAGAAGGCCUUCGGGUUGUAAAGCACUUUCAGUAAGGAGGAAAGGAAUGUAGUUAAUAACUGCAUUCUGUGACGUUACUUACAGAAGAAGCACCGGCUAACUUCGUGCCAGCAGCCGCGGUAAUACGAGGGGUGCAAGCGUUAAUCGGAAUUACUGGGCGUAAAGCGUUCGUAGGCGGUUGAAUAAGCAAGAUGUGAAAGCCCAGGGCUCAACCUUGGAACUGCAUUUUGAACUGUUCGACUAGAGUACUGUAGAGGGUGGUGGAAUUUCCAGUGUAGCGGUGAAAUGCGUAGAGAUUGGAAGAACAUCAGUGGCGAAUGCGGCCACCUGGACAGAUACUGACGCUGAGGAACGAAAGCGUGGGGAGCGA
rnacentral:rRNA from 1 species